UACGUAGGGUGCAAGCGUUAAUCGGAAUUACUGGGCGUAAAGCGUGCACAGGCGGUUUUGUAAGUCAGAUGUGAAAUCCCCGGGCUUAACCUGGGAACUGCGUUUGAAACUACAAGGCUAGAGUGUGGCAGAGGGGGGUGGAAUUCCACGUGUAGCAGUGAAAUGCGUAGAGAUGUGGAGGAACACCGAUGGCGAAGGCAGCCCCCUGGGUUAACACUGACGCUCAGGCACGAAAGCGUGGGGAGCAAACAGG
rnacentral:rRNA from 1 species